GGAAUAUUGGUCAAUGGACGGAAGUCUGAACCAGCCAUGCCGCGUGCGGGAAGACGGCCCUAUGGGUUGUAAACCGCUUUUCCCCGGGAGUAAUAAGGGCCGUGCGCGGUCCGAUGAGAGUACCGGGGGAAUAAGCAUCGGCUAACUCCGUGCCAGCAGCCGCGGUAAUACGGAGGAUGCAAGCGUUAUCCGGAUUUAUUGGGUUUAAAGGGUGCGUAGGCGGACCGUUAAGUCAGCGGUGAAAUGUACCGGCUCAACCGGGGAGCUGCCGUUGAUACUGGCGGACUAGGGUCCAAACGGCGCCGGCGGAAUAUGUAAUGUAGCGGUGAAAUGCAUAGAUAUUACAUAGAACACCGAUCGCGAAGGCAGCUGGCGAGGAUGGCACUGACGCUGAGGCACGAAGGCGUGGGGAUCGAACA
rnacentral:rRNA from 1 species